UGGGAAAUUCCCAUGGGCGAAAGCCUGACGGAGCAACGCCGCGUGAGGGAUGAAGGCCUUUGGGCUGGAAACCUGUUUUAUCACGGAAGAAGAUCUGACGGCACUUGAUGAAUAAGCCACGGCUAAUUCCGUGCCAGCAGCCGCGGUAAUACCAGCAGCCGCGGUAAUA
rnacentral:rRNA from 1 species